UUCAGACCAAACGUGAAUCAGAACUGUGUUCCUUUGCCCGUUUUUAUUGAAUUGUGGACUGUAAAGACCGAUUUUGUCUACUGCAUUCGUCAUUGUGUUGCUCCACUCCAGUCAGUGAGUGAUCAGGGUACCGGUAGUCGCUGCCCAAAGUAGGCCUAGAGAAUCUAACUUGAAAA